AAAAAAAAAAAAAAAGAAGGAGGAUGAGCUCAAAGGCAAAGGGCCCAUUUGGCAUAUCCGUUCAAUUUUGUUGCUCUACAGUUUUAAAAUUACUGAAUAUAGGUUAAAUGUAACGUAACAAAUUGCGAAAUGUUAUUAAAAUUAUAAUAUAAUAUAAUUGUUAUUAUGUUUUAAUAUUUAAUUGCUGCAUAAAAAUAUAAUUAAUCUGAUGUAAUAAUAAUUUUAAUUUUAA
rnacentral:misc_RNA from 1 species